ACCUUGUGCUUACAAGCACUCAAAGCACGUUAAAGUGUGAUGAGGUACUUUUUGUAGAACGGUCCGGCGAGUUAUAGUAACGAGCAAGCUUAAGGUAUUCAGUACCGGAGGCGAAGCGAGAGCGAGUCUGAAUAGGGCGCAUAAAGUUCGUUGCCAUAGACCCGAAACCGGGUGACCUAACCAUGAGCAGGCUGAAGUGAGAGUAAAAUCUCAUGGAGGGCCGAACGCACGUUCGUUGCAAUGACCGGCGAUGACUUGUGGUUAGCGGAGAAAUUCCAAUCGAACUCGGAGAUAGCUGGUUCUCCCCGAAAUAGCUUUAGGGCUAGCGUUAUCUUAGAUUACCGGAGGUAAAGCACUGAAUGGGCUAGGGGGCGAUAAGCUUACUGAACCCUAUCAAACUCUGAAUGCCGGAUAAUUGAUGGCCAGCAGUCAGUCUACGUGAGAUAAGUCUCGUGGACAAAAGGGAAACAGCCCAGACCCACAGCUAAGGUCCCAAAGAUACGCUAAGUGGAAAACGAUGUGGAGUUGCGAAAACAACCAGGAUGUUGGCUUAGAAGCAGCCACUCAUUAAAAGAGUGCGUAAUAGCUCACUGGUCGAGUGACUCUGCGCGGAAAAUAUAACGGGGCUAAGCGUAACACCGAAGCUUGGGCUGCACAGCAAUGUGCGGGGUAGGGGAGCGUCGAAUAUGGGGUGAAGUCGCAGCGGAAGCAGCGGUGGACUGUAUUCGAGUGAGAAUGCCGGAAUGAGUAGCGAGAAUUAUGUGGGAAUCAUAAUGGCCGAAAAUCUAAGGUUUCCUGGGGAAGGUUCGUCCGCCCAGGGUAAGCCGGGAGCUAAGGCGAGGCCGAAAGGCGUAGUCGAUGCACAUACGGUUGAAAUUCCGUAGCCACCGAACCUUAAGUACACUGACACAUGGAGAUAGCGGGACCCGGGCGUUGGUUGACCCGGGCGUAAGGGACCGAACUUUAGUAGGGAAGUCCGCGAUGCUCUGUGGCGAGAAAAGGUGUAUGGUAUGCUAAGGUGCCCGUACCGCAAACCGACACAGGUAGAUGAGGAGAGAAUCCUAAGGCCAACGGGAGAAGGGUUGUUAAGGAACUCGGCAAAAUGACCCCGUAACUUCGGGAUAAGGGGAGCCUCCUACGGGAGGCCGCAGCGAAUAGGCCCAAGCGACUGUUUACCAAAAACACAGGUCUCUGCUAAAUCGAAAGAUGACGUAUAGGGGCUGACGCCUGCCCGGUGCUGGAAGGUUAAGAGGAGAUGUUAGCCGCAAGGCGAAGCAUUGAAUCGAAGCCCCAGUAAACGGCGGCCGUAACUAUAACGGUCCUAAGGUAGCGAAAUUCCUUGUCAGGUAAGUUCUGACCCGCACGAAUGGCGUAACGACUUGGGCGCUGUCUCAACAGCCCACCCGGCGAAAUUGUUGUACUGGUGAAGAAGCCAGUUACCCGCAACUAGACGGAAAGACCCCAUGGAGCUUUACUGUAGCUUAAUACUGGAAAUCGGUAAAUCAUGUACAGGAUAGGUGGGAGACUUGGAAGCCAGGGCGUCAGCUUUGGUGGAGUCACCCUUGGGAUACCACCCUUGAUUUGCUGGUUUUCUAACCUGCGGCCGUGAAUCCGGUCGGGGGACACUGUUAGGUGGGCAGUUUGACUGGGGCGGUCGCCUCCUAAAAGGUAACGGAGGCGCUCAAAGGUUCGUUCAGCACGGACGGAAACCGUGCAGUGAGUGUAAACGCAUAAACGAGCCUAACUGCGAGACCGACGGGUCGAGCAGUAACGAAAGUUGGAGUUAGUGAUCCGGCGGUAUGCAAGUGGAAGUGCCGUCGCUCAACGGAUAAAAGCUACCCUGGGGAUAACAGGCUGAUCUCCCCCAAGCGUCCACAGCGACGGGGAGGUUUGGCACCUCGAUGUCGGCUCGUCACAUCCUGGGGCUGUAUUCGGUCCCAAGGGUUCGGCUGUUCGCCGAUUAAAGUGGCACGCGAGCUGGGUUCAGAACGUCGUGAGACAGUUCGGUCCCUAUCUGUUGCGGGCGUAAGAGAUUUGAAGGGAGCUGUCCUUAGUACGAGAGGACCGGGAUGGACGUACCUCUGGUGCACCAGUUGUCCUGCCAAGGGCAUAGCUGGGUAGCUAUGUACGGACGAGAUAAACGCUGAAAGCAUCUAAGCGUGAAACUCCCCCUAAGAUUAGAUCUCUCAUUCGAAAGAAGUAAGGCACGACGUAGACUAUGUCGUUGA
rnacentral:rRNA from 1 species